rnacentral:RNase_P_RNA from 1 species
CGAGUCGGCUGGACGGCCGCGUGGCGGCGCUCCGGCGUCGUCCCGAGGAACGUCCGGGCUCCGUAGGACGAGGUGGUGGGUAACGCCCACCCGGGGUGACCCGCGGGAAAGUGCCACAGAGAACAGACCGCCGCGUCGUGAAGGUCUCGACCGGAACGGCGCGGUAAGGGUGAAACGGUGGUGUAAGAGACCACCAGCGGGCCAGGUGACUGGCCCGGCUCGGUAAACCCCACCUGGAGCAAGGUCAGACAGGAUGCGUUCGAGGGUUGUCCGCCCGAGCAUCCGGGUAGACCGCUCGAGGCGCACGGCGACGUGCGUCCUAGAUGGAUGGCCGUCUCCUGCGCGUGGGUGACUGCGCGCGGUGACAGAACCCGGCGUACAGGCCGGCUCGUCCG